rnacentral:lncRNA from 10 species
GCAGAGAGUUCUGGAGUAAGGGAAUAAAAGAAAUAAAAGAAAGGAAAGAAAUGUAUUUAAGGAACUGGAUCUGAGCUGUGAGCCUUAUAGGCACUAUCUCAUUUAAUGUCUAAAACAAAACUGUAAAGUAGGUAUGACUAUCUCUGAGAGAUAAACAGAGACUCGGAGAAGUUAAUUAACUUUCCAACAUUGUCGUAGCUACUAAGUGAAAGACCCAGAAUUUGAAAGCAGCUGGGCUGAUUCCACAGUUCAUGCUUUCUACUUGCUGAACUCUGCUCUCAUGCCAAAUGGCACCACCCAGAAGAUGCUGAAAAUCCAUAGGGGGAGGAUAGAUUUACAUUGAUAAGGGGGAAAAAGGUCUACUUAAAAAAGGAAACCAGCAAAUACAAGAUAGGAUACAAUAAAAUGCAACAAGGAAGGUGGUCAAGAAACAUAACGCAUGGCCAUGGACAAAAAGCAAAGAAGAGGAACAACCUGUGUUGGAUGGAGCGCACAAUGGUAUGGAACUAGAAAUUAAUAACAGAAGGAAACUUGAAAAAUUCACAAAUAUGUGGAAAUUAAACAGCGCACUCAUGAACAACCAGUGGAUCAAAGAAGAAAUCAAAAGGAAGCAAGAAAAAGAAGAAAGCAAGAGAUAUCUUGAGACAAAUAAAUGGAAACACAACAUGCCAAAAUUUAUGGAAUUCAGCAAAAGCAGUUCUAAGAUGGAAGUUUAUGGUGAUAAAGGCUUACGUUAAGAAAAAAAUGGUUUCAAAUAAACAAUCUAACUUGACAACUCAAGGAACUAGAAAAAGAAGAAUGAACUAAACCCAAAGUUAACAGAAGGAAGGAGAUAAAAAGACCAGAACAGACAGAACAGAAUAGAGAGCUCAGUAUUUAUGGUCAGUUAAUUCUUGACAAAGGUGCCAAGAACUCACAAUAGGGAAAGGAUAGUCUCUUCAAUAAAUGGUGCUGGGAAAAUUGUGUAUCCACAUGCAGAAGAGUAAAACUGAAUCCUUAUCUCAUACCAUAUACAAAAAUCAACUCAAAAUAGAUUAAAGACUAAACAUAAGACCUGAAACUGUAAAACUACCAGACAAAAACAUGCAGGAAAAUCUUCUUGACAUUGGUCUGGGCAAUGAUUUUUUUGGCUAUAGCCCCCAAAAUUCAGGCAACAGAAAAAAAAAUAGACAAAUGUGAUUGCAUCAAACUAAAACCUUCUCUACAGCAAGGGAAACCAUCAACAGAAUGGAGAGACAACCUAUGGAAUGGGAAAAAGUAUUUGCAGAGGAUACAUCUGGUGAAGGGUCAAUAUCUGAAAUAUAUAAGGAACUCAAGCAAUUUGAUAGCAAAAAAAAAAAAAAACCAAAUAACCCAAUUUUUAACUGGGCAAACGAUCUGAAUAGGUAUUUCUCAAAAGAAGACAUACAAAUAGCAAACAAAUAUGUGGAGAAAUGCUCAGCAUCACCAAUCAUCAAGGAAAUGCAAAUUAAAACCACAAUGAGAUAUCUAUACUUCACACCUGUUAGAAUGGCUGUUAUCAAAAAGACAAAAGAUAUCAAGUGUUGGUAAGCAUGUGGAAAAAAAGAAAACCCUUGUACACCUUUGGCAGGAAUAUAAAUUGGUACAGCCGCUACAGAAAAUAGUAUGAAGUUUCCUUAACACAUUGAAAAUAACGCUACCAUAUAAUCCAGCAAUUCCACUUAGGAAUAUGUAUCGAAAGAAAGCUAAAUUAGUAUUUCAAGGAGAUAUGUACACUCCCAUGUUCAUUGCAGCAUUAUUCACAAUAGAUAAGAUAUGCAAUUAACCCAAGUGUUUACCAAUUAAUAAAUAAAGUGUGUGCAUGUAUGUGUGUAGUGAAAUCUUAUCCACCUUAAAAAAGAAGGAAAUCCUGUUAUUUGCAACAAUGUGGAUGAACCCGGAAGACAUUAUGCUAAGUGAAAUAAGCUAGGCACAAAAAGACAAAUACUGCAUGAUUCACUUGUAUAUGAAAUCUAGGCUGGGUGCGGUGGCUCACGCCUGUAAUCCCAGCACUUUGGGAGGCCAAGGCAGGCGGAUCACAAGGUCAGGAGUUUGAGACCAGCCUGGCCAAUAUGGUGAAACCCCG